rnacentral:rRNA from 1 species
CGAACGCUGGCGGCGUGCUUAACACAUGCAAGUCGAACGGAAAGGCCCUGCUUGCAGGGUACUCGAGUGGCGAACGGGUGCGUAACACGUGGGUGAUCUGCCCUGCACUUCGGGAUAAGCCUGGGAAACUGGGUCUAAUACCGGAUAGGAGCCAUUUUUAGUGUGAUGGUUGGAAAGUUUUUUCGGUGUAGGAUGAGCUCGCGGCCUAUCAGCUUGUUGGUGGGGUAAUGGCCUACCAAGGCGGCGACGGGUAGCCGGCCUGAGAGGGUGGACGGCCACAUUGGGACUGAGAUACGGCCCAGACUCCUACGGGAGGCAGAAGUGGGGAAUAUUGCACAAUGGGCGCAAGCCUGAUGCAGCGACGCCGCGUGGGGGAUGACGGCCUUCGGGUUGUAAACUCCUUUCGCUAGGGACGAAGCUUUUUGUGACGGUACCUAGAUAAGAAGCACCGGCUAACUACGUG